rnacentral:rRNA from 1 species
CCUACGGGAGGCAGCAGUGAGGAAUAUUGGUCAAUGGACGGAAGUCUGAACCAGCCAUGCCGCGUGCAGGAAGACGGCCCUAUGAGUUGUAAACUGCUUUUGUACAAGGGUAAACCUGAAUACGUGUAUUCUGCUGAAAGUACUGUACGAAUAAGGAUCGGCUAACUCCGUGCCAGCAGCCGCGCUAAUACGGAGGAUCCAAGCGUUAUCCGGAAUUAUUGGGUUUAAAGGGUGCGUAGGCGGAUUGAUAAGUUAGAGGUGAAAUGUCCGAGCUUAACUCGGGAACUGCCUCUAAUACUGUUGAUCUAGAGAGUGGAUGCGGUAGGCGGAAUGUAUGGUGUAGCGGUGAAAUGCUUAGAGAUCAUACAGAACACCGAUUGCGAAGGCAGCUUACCAAUCUAUAUCUGACGUUGAGGCACGAAAGCGUGGGGAGCAAACAGGAUUAGAUACCCGGGUAGUC